rnacentral:rRNA from 1 species
CGUAUAUUUAAGUUGCUGCAGUUAAAAAGCUCGUAGUUGGAUUUCGGAUGGGUUCCGCCGGUCCGCCGUUUCGGUGUGUACUGACGGCGCCCAUCUUGCUGUCGGGGACGGGCUCCUGGGCUUAACUGUCCGGGACUCGGAGUCGACGAGGUUACUUUGAGUAAAUUAGAGUGUUCAAAGCAGGCCUACGCUCUGAAUACAUUAGCAUGGAAUAACACGAUAGGACUCUGGCCUAUCUUGUUGGUCUGUAGGACCGGAGUAAUGAUUAAGAGGGACAGUCGGGGG